rnacentral:rRNA from 1 species
UGGGGAAUAUUGGACAAUGGGCGAAAGCCUGAUCCAGCAAUGCCGCGUGUGUGAAGAAGGUCUUCGGAUUGUAAAGCACUUUCGACGGGGACGAUGAUGACGGUACCCGUAGAAGAAGCCCCGGCUAACUUCGUGCCAGCAGCCGCGGUAAUACGAAGGGGGCUAGCGUUGUUCGGAAUUACUGGGCGUAAAGCGCGUGUAGGCGGGUCUUUAAGUCAGGGGUGAAAUGCCAAGGCUCAACCUUGGAACUGCCUUUGAUACUGGAGAUCUUGAGUCCGGGAGAGGUGAGUGGAACUGCGAGUGUAGAGGUGAAAUUCGUAGAUAUCCGCAAGAACACCAGUGGCGAAGGCGGCUCACUGGCCCGGAACUGACGCUGAGACGCGAAAGCGUGGGGAGCAAACAGGAUUAGAUACCCUGGUAGUCCACGCUGUAAACGAUGGAUGCUAGCCGUUGGGGAGCUUGCUCUUCAGCGGCGCAGCUAACGCUUUAAGCAUCCCGCCUGGGGAGUACGGUCGCAAGAUUA